rnacentral:lncRNA from 1 species
UCACAACGUGUCUACUAAUGUUGUAUAACUUGUUUAGUAGGUUAUACAAUUUUGUGAACCAACUCUAAAAAGAAAGCAAAAUUAUUAAAAAUCUCGUGAAAUAAGAUGUGUUCAGAAUGGUGAAAUACGGCUAUGGUUCAAAAAUCACGUAAAUCGGGUAAAGUCUCGGUGCCGAUAGUAGCGGUCAACCCUAUUUACCGUUAUUAUUCUCUAUGGGGAGCCCUAUCGUCGGAAGGCAAAUGUCUCAAAAUUUUUAUAUAGGCGGUUGCGUCUCAUCUACGUGAAAGUUUUUCGUGUGGAAGGUUUGACCAAACUACGUAAUAUAGAGGGAGAUAUGAGCGUUUUCGUGAAUUUAUAGACUUUAGCCGACGAGAUAUUAAAAAAGUCGUCGGCUAAGGUCAAAAAUUUUCAGGCGGUAAACCAAAUUUGGAGGAAAAUUUUCAAAGGACUUUAGCCGACGAAAAUAUAUGAAAAGUCGUCGGAUAAAGUCGAAAAUUUUCAAAAUUUUCAACCAAAUUUUUUUGGCGGUUAACCAAAAUUUUCAAAAUUUUCAAAAGAGUUUAGCCGACGAAAUUUCUUUAUAUUACCGAAGGUGGAUGGUAAGAAGUCUAUUUCGCCUGCCAGAUUUUCUUCUCGGCUUAGCUCCGCCGUCAAGCCACCGGAGACCGCCACACUUGUCCCAAAAGCUUCGCCGUCGUCUCUACUUCAUUGCUGGAUAGGUGGUGCAUCGAGUGGCGCCGCCGUGAGAGAUAAAUCGAGCUCCAAAACUCCGCCGGUUCGGAUUCGGUGUCGAUCGAAUUUCUCCUUCCUCAGGUCACCAUUUGGUGAGUUCUAUAUAUGGAUAAGUUGAGUUUGAUUAGUACUACAUUCCCCUAGAAUUUGGUAGCUCGAUUCGGUAUGUGUGAAGAGAAUCGAAGAUUUGAAGUUUUUAGGGUUUGAAAUUGGGGAUUUUUAUAUUUUGAUUCAAUUGACCUAUUUAGGCUUAGAAUUGGGCUUCGACUUCUUCUAGAAAGUUGUUCGAAAUGUUGAGAAGAAGAUUCUGUCUAAUUUGGGGUGAUUGGAG